rnacentral:rRNA from 1 species
UACGUAGGUGGCAAGCGUUGUCCGGAUUUACUGGGCGUAAAGAGCGCGCAGGCGGCUAUCCAAGUCAGUGGUGAAAGCCCGGAGCUCAACUCCGGAACUGCCAUUGAAACUGUUUAGCUUGAGGACGAGAGAGGUGAGUGGAAUUCCCAGUGUAGAGGUGAAAUUCGUAGAUAUUGGGAAGAACACCGGUGGCGAAGGCGGCUCACUGGCUCGUAUCUGACGCUCAGGCGCGAUAGCGUGGGGAUCAAACAGG